rnacentral:rRNA from 1 species
GCGUGAGUGAUGAAGGCCUUAGGGUUGUAAAGCUCUUUCGCCCGCGACGAUGAUGACGGUAGCGGGAGAAGAAGCCCCGGCUAACUUCGUGCCAGCAGCCGCGGUAAUACGAAGGGGGCGAGCGUUGUUCGGAUUUACUGGGCGUAAAGGGCGCGUAGGCGGCGCGAGAAGUCGAGUGUGAAAGCCCCGGGCUCAACCUGGGAAUUGCGCUCGAGACUCUUGUGCUUGAGUUCGGGAGAGGAGCGUGGAAUUCCCAGUGUAGAGGUGAAAUUCGU